UAGGGAAUCUUCCACAAUGGACGAAAGUCUGAUGGAGCAACGCCGCAUGAGUGAAGAAGGUUUUCGGAUCGUAAAGCUCUGUUGUUGGUGAAGAAGGAUAGAGGCAGUAACUGGUCUUUAUUUGACGGUAAUCAACCAGAAAGUCACGGCUAACUACGUGCCAG
rnacentral:rRNA from 1 species